rnacentral:lncRNA from 1 species
CCUCCCUCUUGUACCCACUGUUCCCAUCUAUACUAAUCUAUUCUAAUAUUGGGCCGGUUUCUCUGUUGGAUAUUCUCUUUCCCAAAGUCUACUUGCCUUAAUAAUUGUUCUAAAGCAUAGUCUAUAAUAACAUAAGAGUUGUAUGCAUUUUAACCCUAGGAUAUUUGAAAAUACUUCUACUCUCUCAUUACACUUAAAUGAUGGUAUGGAUGCAUGUGGAAUUCUGGAUUAAAAGUACUUUUCCUUAGGGAUUGAAGGCUUGGCUCCACCAUUUUGGAAUCCAGUUAUGGUGGCGCAGAUUCUGACGUCAUUCUGCACGCCAUUGUUCUGCAAUGCGCCCUGCCCCCAACACUGCCAGUGCUUGCAAACUUAGAGGAUUUAAAUUCAUCACUAGUGUUUUGAAAUCCCAGGAUGUGUUCCUGAGACAGUCUUCGUUGUUUUAUUGUCCUGGGCAUUCUGCGUCCUUUCAGUCUGGAGAUUUUUAGCUUCCUUUGCUUCUGAGUCUCUAUUUGCAGUGCCCCGAUGCUAGAAACCUGAGAUCCCAUGGCUUCUCCAGAAUGGAGGCUUGGGCAUUGUCAGCACCCUCCUUCCAAGAGUUGAAAGUUCCUCUCUUCUGGAAGACAAACUGAUGUGAGGAUGAGGAGGAGUCAGAAAUAAACUCAUUCAACUAAUACUUGAGUAGCUACUGUUGCCUACAGUAUGUUCAAGGUUUUGCUAGUCAUCCAUAUGAUCACUAUUGACAGCUUGGGAGACUCACACAGGCUAGUGAAUUUCAGGAAUUAACAGAAACUGAACAGCUUCUAUAAUCCUGCAGGAAGUAACCUCUGGAUGGCACAAACUAUGUAGAGGAAUGGUCAUUCCUCAACUCCCAUGACUGGGAUUCAAGGAGAGCUGUUCUCAGUCAUCUGCAUGUGUUUGACUUUCCUGAUUGAUGACUGCCUUAUCUCCAUCCCCUGGGAACAGUUCUAAAAUAUGAACUGAAAGUCAGGGGUCAGUGGAUGCUGCGUCUGUGAGACACAACUUCAGAGGUGACUAAACUCUCCCUAGAGCUGCCCUCCUCGAAGAUCUUUGUCCUCGGAAAUUGUCAGGGGAAUCUCAAUUUGGCAGCACCAGAUGUCCCAGAGUCUAGGGAGUCAUCAGGCACUAACUUGGGUUUUUUUAAAGUUUGAAUCACAGUUGAUUCGGAAAAUGAUGGAAAGCUGUCAACUAAAGGAAGGUCUGUCGCUCUUUUUA